rnacentral:lncRNA from 1 species
GCGAAAGCAACAAGAUUCGCAUGUUCACUGAGGUAAGGUAACCAUUUGUUUCAGGUGUGAACAUGCCCAAGAUCUCAGGAUUGCAAGGUUCUGUGGAUUUAGUGUGCAAGGAUCUGCAGUUCUGUGGAAAUGUUGUGCAAGGAUCUGCAGUUCUGUGGAAUUAUUGUGCAAGGAUCUGCAGUUCUGUGGAUUUAGUGUGCAAGGAUCUGCAGUUCUUUGGAAGUGUUUUGCAAGGAUCUGCAGUUCUGUGGAUUUAUAGUGUGACCCGGAGGAUCUGGCGUUUUGGAUUUAUAUUGCGAGGAUCUGGUGUUCUGUGAGAUCACCUGUUUAAGGACCUCAUGUGGCCUACUUGAAGGAAUCAUCUUCACAUUCAGAUGUACUCGGAACCCAGAUGGAUGAAGGGAUAUUGUUAUAUGGGGAUCAGGAUAACUAGGGCUAUGGGAUCUGCUUUAUCCCUGCGUCCUAUAUGCAUCAAACUGGACUUUGGAAAUGGUCAUUCCUACAUCUGAUUUAGGACCACCUUCAACAGGACUAUGGGAUCUGCUUUAUCCCUGCGUCCUAUAUGCAUCAAACUGGACUUUGGAAAUGGUCAUCCCUACAUCUGAUUUAGGACCACUUUCAACAGGACUAUGGGAUCUGCUUUAUCCCUAUGUCUAUCAUUUCUCCAUCGAUCAUUUAGCGAGUGCACAAUGGUCUUUUCCACUGAGACUUUUUACAUAAAUGAUAGCCAACUAUUAGGGGACUGAAAAUUCACAGGGUACUUGCAUCUCUGCAUAGGGCUUGGGUCAGCAUCUCUACAAGGUGUCUGUGGCAUGUUUGUAGCCAUGAAUCUAUCUUUUCAAACAUCGCUUCAUGCUGGCUCACUGGUGGCUUCAACUGGCAGAGAACCAGAAUAUAGCAUGAAAACGUAAUGUUUCCAGCGAGGAACAACCACACAGCUAGUACAAUCCUGACAUGGAUGACAGCAUUCAACAUGGCGAUGAUGGCAAUGCUAGCAAGGACUUGGUACUUCUCUACUCUCUGUUUUCAAAGUUUUCAUUCAGGGACAACCACAGGGUUACAUUCGUGAUAUGAGAUGGCAGCAUCAGCAUGAUAGCAGCAAUGCCAGGACAGUACCCCACAUCAAGGCAUCAACUUUGGACUUCUGCAUCACUACAUAGCUGCCACUUUUUAAAGCCUCAACUUAUCACCUUCAUAUUUAUCCUCACUUUGAUACAUUCACACUCGACUUCACCGUAUUCACCCCUCACUUUAUUACCACGGCAACUCUCAUGUUCACAUCCACUUCACCACUUUCACAUCUACCAGACUUAUUCCCACUUUAGCACCAUUCACCCUCACUUUCACCACAUUCACCUUUACCACCACGCUGGCAGCAAACAUCAAGUUGUCUACUCUGAGCUGCUGCAUUGCUUCCAGCCUGGAAUCUUGUCUCCCAAUGUGGUCAUUUCAUCACCUGUCUGAGAUCAGUUGAGGUGGACUGCAUACACUUACAGCAUAAAGGUUCCUGCUACACCUUCUGGGCAGGUCCAUGAGAAAGAGAUUCAUGAGGAUUGGUCUUUUUGGAAGAGUCAAAACCACUAACAAGAUUGAUGCCAAGAGGCUUUGCAGCUGAGUGAUAUCAACCGUGGUGCCAAUGCAUAAAUUCCCAGUCUUCAUAGACCUGGUCCCUAAUGCCCACUGUUGUUGGUCUUGCAACAAGCCUGAGCCCUGAAUCCAAUGCUUAGAUCCAUAGCCAGGAACUUCAACUUGGAUUUCUGUGGCAGAGCAAGCAACAGACUUGGAGUGACCAUGCUAGACUUCUUGGAAACCAUUCCUGGAAGUCUUUCUGCAGCAUUGACUAGAACUUUUCAUCGCCAAACUGGUUUAUUUGUAAAUUGUCUGUCUUUGUGAAAAACAAUCUUUGAUUCAUCAAAGUGUGUUUCUGAGUAAUAAACAGUUGAAUAUAACAUCCUAAUAUUUAGGCCUAUGCUGACAUUUUGUACUUUUUCUGGUACAUAGUUGAUCUGGAAAGGCAUUAUUGAAUGAGAAUGGUUCAGUGCGGCCACUCUACAAGUUGCAUAUUCCGACAAAAGAAAUAUAUACACUAGCCCUCAUCCCCAAGUGUGUUUCAUUUUGAAAUUGGAGGAUUGAGGAUAGUUUCGACUUGAUCAUUACUUGCUGGGAUUUCUUCAAUCUAAAGAUUACUGAAAAUGGUUUGUUUAAAAGCAAGUUCAGUUGCAGCCAUACUUUGAAUUCACAUUGGAUUUUUCCUACAUGACAUCAUUACAGCGCCCUCAUUUUCCAGCCCCCAAACUACCGUCUUUCAGGUUUUGCUGAAUGUUUAUAAUUACUGCUUUAUAUAUGAAUAAUUUAUCAACUUAUUUUAUAGGCAAGAACUUCCCCAUGUUUCUUGAAAUUUGUGUUCACACAUCCAAGAUUCAGAAAAGCCAAAACUUGAGUUUGAAAUGCCAGCUUCAAAGAAGAUUGGACUUUUUAAAUAGUAAAACUGAGAAUAUUAAGCUAAUUGCUUCUUCCAUGAUGUUUGAAGUACCAAUUUACUUUUAACCAUGAUGGCUUAAAACUUCCUUACUUUUUGCCAAUAUUUUACUUGAGGAACAAGUGCAUUACCUCUUUCCCUUUUAUAAGACUUGAGAUAGCCUGUUGAACUUUUGGUUUUUUUUGUUUUAACUCUUGUUUUAAAUGCUUUAUUUGAAUGAAAGGUUCACUUCGCUUUCCCCGUAACUUCCUUUUAGUUCCCAAAUGUGAAAUAAUUUCCAGUUUAUAAUUUAGAAUUACUCAACAGUAUUUGGCCCACUGCAUCUUCAUUCCUGCUUCUAUGCAGUAAUCAGAUAGGAACAUUUUCAAAAUUAUUAAUUUUUAAAAGAAUUAAUAAAAAAAGAUCAUGUUCACUUGUAGAGAUCCUCUGAAUAAAAGAAGGGCUGCUUUCCUCAAA